AUUUUUUCAGCACCUCAAACGUCAAUGGACAGAACCAGAUGUAUUGUGACAAGUGUGAUGACAAAGCUGAUGCUACUCUUAGAUCUGUAAUGACACAUCAUCCAGAUGUUUUGACGCUGCUUUUGAAGAGGUUUGAGUUUGACUACCGUUACAUGGCGUAUGUCAAAAUCGAAUGCACUGUGGAUGUUCCCUGCACCCUUCAGAUACCAGAGAAUCAGACAUAUGAACUGUAUGCGGUUGUGGAUCAUUUUGGAGAUCUGAG